AGGUGGAGUUGGCUGGACGCAGGUGUCUGUGAGCAUCGGGGAGUCCCAUUCUGCCUUAUCAGCGAUGCCCGGCCUGUGAGGUGGAGUUGGCUGGAUGUGGUUGUCUGUGAGCAUCGGGGAGUCCCAUUCUGCCUCAUCAGGGAUGCCCGGCCUGCCAGGUGGAGUUGGCUGGACGCAGGUGUCCAUGAGCACUGGGGAGUCACAUUCUGCCUCAUCAGCUAUGCCCGGCCUGAGAGGCGAGGACUGCCUGGGAGAGUAGAGCUGUGUGGUCUGCAGUCACAUGGAAGACGCCAGAGUAAGCGGUCAAUGUAAACUAAAACCUUGGUUUCACAUGAAUAAAAAAAUUAUCGCUUCCUCUUGAAAUGUGACAAGGAAGAAAAUAUUGGGAAUAAUUCUACCAUCUCAUCCUCAAGAGCCAGUAGGAAUUCUACCACCAGAAUGACAUAGCAACUCUUUGAGUGCUUGGCUGGCAGCAUCCAUACAUUCAUAGUAACCAGACUGGAGAACCGGCAUGUGAGGAGAGAGCCCAGUGGUAAAUGGUUAUGCCUACCUUUGAGCCAUUCAUGCAUUUUUCUUACAUGCCAAAAUCUUUAGAGUGAGGAGCAAUUGACUGAGAUCGACUAGGUAAUCAAGUUCUCUUCUAUGGGAAUAAUCAGAACACUGCACUCCAGAGACAUGAAAUGAAGGAAAGUUUUGGGAAGAAUUCUGCAUCCUAUCCUCAAGGGCCAGUGGGAAUUUUCAUGCUGGUUGGAAGUAAGAUCACAAUUGCAUGGAAUUCUUGCCACUUCACCAAAGAAUACCUGAUUUUGUCACCUUUACCAAUUCCCUUACCUGAGAAGAAACAAUGAUGCACUCUCAAGGUAAUGAUGGAUCCUAGAAAGGAAGAGAAACUCUCUGUGCCUUUGCCUUUCUUGAAUGCCAUCUCCAGAGAGUGAGAUGACAAAUUAAUUUUAAGUCAGUGGUUCUCCAUUGCUACGUGUGGUCUUCUGGACUCCCUUGUAGAAGAUUACUUCUUGGGAACUCUUGGGAGUGAAUGAUGCCAGUAAAUCUCUGAAACAAGACUCUUCAGAAAGGAGGCUAUGGUCCAAGGGCCACACUUUGAAGGUGGUGACCACAAAUGUGAGGUGGAUUUGUUACUGAGGGUGCCAAUACUUCUACCACCAGCUUCACCAAAACAAUGAUACAACUCUUCUUUAUGCUUGGCGAUUCCUCUCUUUCCUGUGUUGCAGUGGACACCUCCUGCAGAUAAGAAAUGCUUAACUGAGAAAUGCUCAUGUUGGGAUAUCAUCGAUGAGACUUUAAUUUGGGCAUGGUGACUGUUUCCCUUGCUGCCACUUGACUCAAUCCCAGGAGCCUCAGUAGAGGAAAUAUUAUUGCACAAGAAACUCAAAAUGGUGGAAUUGCUCAGUGCUCCCAUAAAUAUACAUUUAUAAUUUCCAUUUGCCAUAUGGUAAAAAUUUUAAAUAGGAUAUAUUAAAAAGAAACUGCACAAUUUUUUUCAAAAAUUCAAAGCAUAUUUAAAUAUCUAAUAUAUAAAUUAAGUGCCCUCCUUUCUCCCAAUUCUCUCUCCUAGUGUUUUCUUCUCUUAAGAGAGUUGUGUGCGUUCUUUAAGUGGAUAGAUGCACACACACAGACACACAUACACACAAACUAUUUUGGGGGGUUCUGGAAGUGGGGCCAUAUUGUACACAUUCUUCUGCAAGUUGCCUUUCAUUUUACAGUUUUUAAUACCCUUUUCUAUUUCAGUAAUAUACAUCUGUGUCAUUUGUUGAAUGACUGCACGACUGUUUUGUAGAUGAAAUAUAAUUAAAUGUUAUAAGCAUUUCUUAUCCAUAGAUAUUUGUUAGCACAAAAUUUCUGUGCAAUGAACCUCCCUAUCAACAAUUUUGCAUUUGUCUAUUAUAUCAUAAUAAAUUACUUAGCAGUUGAAAUACUGGGAUUAAGGAUAUGCACAUUUCAAAUUAUUACAAGAUUUCCUUAAAAUGUGGUAACAAUUUUAUCUUCAAAUGGCAAUGAAUGAGAUUGCCAGCUUUCCCACAACUUCACAGAUAAUGGAUUUUAUAAAUAUUUACAUUUUUUGCAAAUGUGAUAGCCCAAACUAUUGUCUUAAAUUGUAUUUAUUUUGCUUUUGAGUUUGAUCAUUUUUUUCAUAUGUUUAUUAGCCAUCUGUAUUCUUUAAUUUCCUCUUUCUGUCCAAUUUGGGGGAUGGGGGCUUAGUCUUCUGAUUUUGAAGAGCUCAUUUAUUAUUGGGGAAAAAAGGUUUGGAUUGUCAAGCUUUACAGAUAUUUUUUAUGCACUUUUAAACUUCAUUUUUGUUAUAAGAAUGUGUAUGAUUGUUAUAUGUUCAAGUAUAACCAUGUUUGCUUUUAUGGCUUCUGAGUUUCAUGUCAUUUUGGAAAAAAAUAUUUAUACUGAUUCCAUAAAACUGUCACCUAUGUUAA